rnacentral:rRNA from 1 species
UACGUAGGGUGCGAGCGUUGUCCGGAAUUAUUGGCGUAAAGAGCUUGUAGGCGGUCUGUCGCGUCUGCUGUGAAAAUCCGGGGCUCAACCCCGGACUUGCAGUGGGUACGGGCAGACUAGAGUGUGGUAGGGGAGACUGGAAUUCCUGGUGUAGCGGUGAAAUGCGCAGAUAUCAGGAGGAACACCGAUGGCGAAGGCAGGUCUCUGGGCCACUACUGACGCUGAGAAGCGAAAGCAUGGGGAGCGAACAGGAUUAGAAACCCC